CCAACUCAACAUUAGGCACUAGCCACUAUUGUACAUUUUCCACCACCGUAGAUCACAUAUAUUUCCAUUUCCCCACCACUUAUUUCUCUAUAAUUUAUAAUCUAUACGUACAUAAUAAAAUCAGCUAUACAAUAAACUAACUAUUUAAGAUGAGUUCACGGGCCACUUGAGAUAAGUCCAGGGACUACCGGUGGUCUGUGGAUCACUAGUUGGGAACCAUGGGCUUAAAUGGACGA